AGCGAACGCUGGCGGCAGGCCUAACACAUGCAAGUCGAACGAACCUUUCGGGGUUAGUGGCGGACGGGUGGGUAACACGUGGGAACGUGCCUUUAGGUUCGGAAUAACUCAGGGAGACUUGUGCUAAUACCGAAUGUGCCCUUCGGGGGAAAGAUUUAUCGCCUUUAGAGCGGCCCGCGUCUGAUUAGCUAGUUGGUUGAGGUAAUGGCUCAUCAAGGCGACGAUCAGUAGCUGGUCUGAGAGGAUGAUCAGCCACAUUGGGACUGAGACACGGCCCAAACUCCUACGGGAGGCAGCAGUGGGGAAUCUUGCGCAAUGGGCGAAAGCCUGACGCAGCCAUGCCGCGUGAAUGAUGAAGGUCUUAGGAUUGUAAAAUUCUUUCACCGGGGACGAUAAUGACGGUACCCGGAGAAGAAGCCCCGGCUAACUUCGUG
rnacentral:rRNA from 1 species